GGAGCGGAAGGGGUGGAGCCGCAGACACGUGAGGGUCGGUUUCGAGGCCUCAUUGGCUGGUCUCUAGGGCGGAAGGAGGGGGGCCGCCCGGGCGGGUCUCACCUGCGGUGUCUGGGUGGCCCGAGCCCUGGCGGAGGUGGCAGGUGGCGGGAGAGCGCGGUGGGAGCGCAGGUGCCCUGGGGGUCCGACCGGCCUGGUCGGCUCGGCGUAGUGUGGGGGUGAAGCGCAGGGCCCGGAGGGCCGCAGGUGCUGGUGGGCAUUGCUCAGUGAGCUCAGGGGCCGCCUGCAGGAAGCUGACCCUCGGGAGGUGCGCACCUGCCCACGGGGGUGGCGGUGGCUGCUGAGCAGGGAGCCCUGGCGGGGCCUGCAGACGAGGGAGCGCCCCUGGCUCAGGUGGGCCGGUGGGCGAGGCCCGUCCGGAAGGUGCGCAGCUGCGGCUGGGAUUCGGGAUGAGCCUGGCACCCACCGGGUUCGCCCCCGGGCAGAGUAGGAGACGCGGCUAGACGUGGCCAGGCCGUGCGCAGCUGUGCAGCCCGGGCCCUCGGCGCCUGGCCCGGCCGUCCGCCCUACCUGGGGGCCUCCUGCGCAUGGGCUGCCCGCCGCUGGGAAACGGGGUGAAGGCAGCCUCGGGGGCGACCGCUUGGGCUUCACCAGAAGCAACACCGGAUUCCAGGCAAAAGUUUCAUGGAAGGCAAGGGUGUGGAAAGGCCUGCCUCUUAGGGAUGGAUUCGUGAGGAGGUCAGGGCUGGGCUGGGAGGCCCGGGGCGCCCUGCACAGCAGGAGAGGUGUGUGAGCCCAUCCCCCGGGGCCCUGCUGGAUGCUGGUGUCCAAGACGACCUGGACCUAUCGAGGAGGGAGGCCUGGGCUUCCGCCAGCCGGCCUUUCAAGAGUGGUGUGGAGCAGAGCCUCUAUUGGGUGAAGCCGUGAAGGUGUCAGGAUUUGUGUGUUCUGGCUGUGGCCUUCACGAGUUACAGAUCUGGAAACCCGGCGGGGACAAGAAGCUUAUUUGGAGGCUUGAUGGGUGGUCACCUUGGUUUAACAUUUUGGUUUCUCCUCUUAUUUGAACCAAGAACAAUCCAAUUAAAAAAACAAAAAAACAAAAAACAAAAAAAA
rnacentral:lncRNA from 1 species